GUAAUUUGGCCUCUCAUGGACGACAUACUGAGGAGGCAAGGGAGGAUUUGAGUAACCGCUGGCAACGGCGAACGCUACGCCCAUCAAUAGCACUCUGCUAACCCACAUCUUGCUUUACGCUAAUAACAAAGGCACGUCUGACCGUGUGAGCUCCGUUGUAUUCCCUCUUUAAGACGUCCAUUACUUUAUAGCCAUCCGUGUGCCCACAGUUUCACAUGGAAUAAUACCAGUUUUGAUCAAAUAGAAAGUUUGCUAAAAGAACUCUGUUAUCUAGGUGAAAGUCCAAAUUCUCAUUUCGAUUUACAAUUCCUUUUGGCAAGAUUUUCGUUGCAAGUGGGCGUAUAUUUGCAUGCGUUGCAAUUGGCAAUGCACGUCCAGUGACAUGGCUUUUUAACUAGUUUGGGAGCAAGUGUUCUCAUUCACGGGGAAUACCCGAACACAUGUAUUACAAACGGAAAAUUCGGUUGCUUCACGGGUAAACUUUCUUUAGUUACUAGGUAGGGUCCGAAUAUUGCGGCGGAGACACAUUACGCUGGCUAUUAAUUUGUCUGUGGUAUUUAUGUCAUUGAACGAUUUUUUAGUUAGUUAUUUUUGCGUUAAUCAUUUGCAUGCCAUGGAUGUUUGUUUCCAUUUCCACAAAGGGGCAUAGGUCGUACUAAUUCGAAAGUCUUUAAUACCCUUCGUUUUCGGUAUGUAAAUUCAAAAAUCGACAACCUAAAAAUUAAAAGGUUGUGGGCAUGAGUUUCCAAGGAGAUUUUAUCAACGUAUGAUCUGACAGGUCUUUUUCUUUGCAGUCUAAAGAAUGAAGUGGGCCCUCCAGUGUCUUGCAGCAUUCGUUGACUAGUUGUCACGUUCUUCUCGCGGGGACAACCGCCUAAUAUUUUACUGUGGUUAACUUUUAACCUGUUGUCUCUGAAUUUUUUUGAAUAUUAAGGGUGGAGUAACUAAAUUUGAAUAACCCUAAUUUUAUAUUAAAAUGCUGCCCAACCCAAGUCCACUGCUUAUCAAUGCCGCAUUAUGAUACUGAGUUAUCCCGCGGGCAUAUACUUGCGCCACUUACGUUUGCAUUUAUGUGACUGGUAUUCACGAGUAAAAUAACAAAUAUGGAGGGGAAAAAUCAUUAGCGCAAGAUGUUUGUCACUGGGACAGAACUGGUUGUAGAACUAGCUAUGGCCAUCUGUGCAAUCUGUCCAUCACCACACACUUUCUAUUUGUCGGAAAGGUCUUUUAAACGUGCGGGGAUUUUUCUGACAUCCUAAAAUAUAAAGCUCUUGACAUGACUGAAUUGUAAUUCAAUUAUUUUUGAGGGGGGAAAAAUAGCUCUGGGACGCUUUGAUUGUUUAUGACUAAACGUCCGUCUAAGUGUGCGGUUACCGGGUUACCUGUAUUUGAUCACCCAAUUUUAUUAACU